AUGUCAAAUCCCUGGAACGCUCCAAUGUGCAGACAGCAGGAGAAUGUUAUGACAGAGAGACAGAGAUGGGCUCUGGCAAAGGACAGCCUAAAGGGGGGGAAAGAAAAGAUGAAAAGAGAGAAGGAGAAUCCUCUGUGCAGCGCUUGGGAGGGUUCCGAACCAGAUAAUGGACCCAGCGAUGAGAAUGAAUUUCACGGACGCCAGAGGGUUAGAAGAGAGUUAAACCUGAACUGCAGAUGUUUGGAUGUGAGGAAUAUCGUAGUGUCGUCCCAUUUGAUAACUGGGCCACGGUCCUAUGCAGUAGAAGAAGUGGGGGAUGGGAUGGAGAUAGAGGAGAAGCUCACUUCCAAUCGCGUUCCUCUCCCAGUGAAAUCUCCUAGACAGCUCCAGAAUAACCCCUGCUGGGAGAGAUUUAACACGUCCAAUUCCAACUGUGCUCAGACGCAUUCCCAAACGGGCGUCGACGAUCCUCCACCUCAGAAGAAUAGAAAAGUUGCUCAAAGCAAAAAAUAUUUCUCACCACAAUCUGAACAAACAAACAUCAAACAACAGAGACUGAAGCAGCGACUUCUGCCACUGACCAGGUCCCAUUGGGGCCCAGCCUCUUCAUGUGUUUUGUGUGUAGAGCAGUCUGCAGAGGAACUAGCAGUGCCAUGGCGGUGUAGGGCGAUGGUGGCACAGAACCCUGAACCAUCUCGGCUCCCUUCCAGAAUCCUGCCAAACCUCCAAAACACAAUUAGAGCAUCUGGCUGUGAGAUACUGGAGCUGUGCCGACGUAUGUCCUCUAGGAUGAACUAUGUGAACCAUGUGAGCCCGACCACAUCUGGAACUGGAACUAGACCGGUGGGUUGGAGGUUGCUUGGGAAGCCCGUAGGGGACAGUGGAGCACAGGUGCGGGUCAGUCAACCAGAACACCCCUCCUGGAAUGUGAGAAAGUUCUCUGGGGCAUCAGUUGACAGCCACAGUCUCACCAGCCUUCUGCAUAAUAGUGAUUGUGGUUCUGGUGUAUCCAGGGGCAGCCAGACCCAGACACAUCUUCCAGAUACUGGGCUCUCUGGCUGUGCUAAAGACAGCAAAGGAGACAGCCAACAGCAUGGAUGGAAGGUCAGCAGAUCCAGGAGGGACCAGAGAGGUGGAGGUGGGGUUGGAAAAGGGAGACAGAUGCCCAGAGAAGAAUCCUUGCGGUGGGGUGAAGGAUCAACAUGGCCUUGGGACUCCGAGAGUCAGUCAAGGAACCAGCGGCAGAACGAGUCCCCAACAGACUGUGAUGUCACCCUACUGCACAUUGUGCAUCUUUUACAGUGUAGGUCAGUCAAUCUGUCUCAUGUCAGGGAAGAAGGACAAUUUGGAGAUGAUUUUCAACAUAUCCUUCACAACAGACAAACUUGA
rnacentral:lncRNA from 1 species